rnacentral:rRNA from 1 species
AUUGAACGCUGGCGGCAGGCCUAACACAUGCACGUCGAGCGGAGCGGCGGACGGGUGAGUAAUGCCUAGGCAUCUGCCUGGUAGUGGGGGAUCACGUCCGGAAACGGGAGAUAAUACCGCAUACUAUCAGAUUAGCCUCGGUGGGAUUAGCUAGUUGGUGGGGUAAAGGCCUACCAAGGCGACGAUCCGUAACUGGUCCGAGAGGAUGAUCAGUUCCACUGGAACUGAGACACGGUCCAGAAUCAUACGGAGGGCAGAAGUGAGGAAUAUUGGACAAUGGGCGAAAGCCUUAUCCAGCCAUGCUGCGAGUGUGAAGAAGGACUUCGGAAUGUGAAGCACUUUAAGUAGUGAGGCGUUACCAACAGAGUAAACACCGGCAAACGUCGUGCCAGCCGCCGCGGUAAUAC